CUAGCUCUUGAGGGAGGAGGACCUAACUGCCUAGGAGCUGAGGGUGCAGGCAACCAAGAAGGGCUGGGGAAAGACAUUGGACAGGAGAACAGGAACAGGAACACAGACGGGAACCAGGUCCUCAGGGACAGGUGUCAGGAAUGGGAACACAACAGGAAUUGGACCUCAGGAUCUUUGAUGCCAGAAAACCUCUGUCCAUUGCCGGAACUCCUUCCAUAGACACAUACUCAUCAGUUCUGGAUACAUCCCCUUGAACGAUCCCGUGGUCUGACUCUCCACCCAUUCACUGCCACCUGGCACAGUAAAGGAAUUUGACUCAGGAUUCUCGUCUGCUCUCCAAAUUGCUGGUGAUGUGGUGAGGCCACUGUUCAAUCAACAGUAACCUCUGGGAAAUGUAUAACUCUCUAACCUACAUAGUGCAGCAUAAUCACACUAGCUCAAGGGAUACUUCUGGGAGUCUGCUUUGGUUAAGGCGACCUUCAUACAGGUUUUAAUCAGGUCCAUGAAGCUCUAGGGUUUUGCUUCAUUCGUUUUUUGUAACAUUUUGCAAACAAGUCUGCAAAGAAGGCAUCAACAAGUUUUAACAACUCUGACAAGACAAUAUGUUCCCUUCCUCUCUUAGAGUUACUGUGUCCCCUGGGCAUGGGUCUGUUUAACCACACAACAAAAAUGUUUAGGGAGUGGUGUGGGACUCCUACCUGCUUGUCCUGCUGCUGAUCCUUUGUGGGUUAGUGGUGCAUCCUGUGUGACUGCAUCCAGCUAGUAGCUGGAAUCACGUCCCAGUACUGACACACGCAUUCCAGCAAAACAGGCACUGUGGGAUUAUGUAUGCCCCCAUAAGGAUUUUGUUUUCAGGCUCCAUCAGGAAACAAAGUCUCAAGCCUUUCUAGAGAAGGUCUGGGCCUUGGAGUGCGGCAAGCAGGCACUGGGAGCAAGGGUCAGCAAGUGACAGGCAAGAGGGACAGGCAGGGCCCAGAGACACCAUCCCAUAGCCCAUCCUGGGUCAGAAAGACACUGAGGAAGGAAGAGCUGGAAAGGAGUGGCAAUAUUCUGAAAAUGCUGCCACCUUGUGUCUACUUUGGAGAUCUGAAAACCUACACUCCAAACUCCCACACCAAAAUAGUAACUGGAGUUUGCACCGUGGUCCAGUGCCUUGCUAUGAAACAACCACUAGAAAGUGAGAGUUGAUUGUAUGGCUUGAGGUGGCUUGUGUAUCAAUUUGCAAUCUAGUUAGCUAGCUACAGUAGUUACUUGUGUGGCCCCAUUACUGUAGUGUCUGAGCUUAUCUAUAUAGUAGUAUGGCAAUGUGCAUAAUACUCCAAUAAAUUAACCAGCCACAACUGGGUAAAACAAAUAAUUUAUCUUUGUAUCUUUAGUAUCCAUAGCAGGGCUGGAUGCAGCUAUGAGAAGAAACUGGAACUGGAUGGAUUCCACUGAUAGCCAAGCCAAAAAACUCAUUGCUGUAUAUUCUUCAGAGGAGAGGCCAAGGGGGUUUGGUUUGGUUUGUUGAAUUAUUUUUUAACCUAAAAGGUCAGUUUUAACCUAAAAGGUCACACUCAUCAUUUUUUUUAGUCAGAGCCUAAACAGAUUGUUCAGAUCUGUAUGUUUCCGUUGCAAACAUUCUAUACUACAUUAGUUUAAUGGCACAGUCACUAUGAAUUACAAACUUCCUCUGCUCCCCCCUGUGCUGAUGAAACAUGGCAACAUAAGGAACAUCUGUUCUGUUACCCUUUGCUGGAAAUGGGAAACAUCAUAUUACAUUUUUGUUAUUAGACUUAUUUGGAUGCCAUUGGGUUUUUUCUAAACACAUCAAGGCAGCUGAAUAACCUUAAUUGAGUACCACAGAAAAAGCAUGGUUUCAUGCAAAUACAGCUGCCAACAUAAUUAUUAGGACAAUACUGAGCUUCUAUUCCUGAGAUCUGUUCUAUUUCUAUGGUUUUUCUAUUGCUCCCUUGCUGCUGAAUCUCAUUAUAAACAUCUCCACACAAACCAAUCUACAGCUCUGCCAACAUAGUUAGACAGUAAACAAGUUAAAUCCUUAAUGGUUGACAUUAAGAAUCCAAAUAAAUCUAAGGAUCAGCAUGUGUGCUGAACCUUUUAUUUAUGUAGGAAAUUAAUCACCUCCUCCUCACUAGCAACACAAGUGCACUGAAAGUAGCACCAGGAACUACCUCCAAUAGUUAAAUUGCUGUUUUAUCAACAAAUUUAAACAGCCCCCAAGAUUUCUAUUACAAUUUAGUUAAAGGCAACCGAUUUCUCUUGUUGCUUUGGAUAGUUGCUUGAGCCAGGUCUUCCUGCAUCUGUAAACAGAGGCAAUGUUCCCAGAAUUAAUUACCUUGGAUUCAUUCCUAUUAUAUGACCAAGCACACCACACGCAGCAGUUAAUCAGGGUACAUCCAUGCAACCUCUAGCCUACCCAGCACAUAGAAUCAUUUCAUUAUUUAAACUCAUUGGGAUUGAAAUUUAUGGUACUACUUAAGGAGCAAGGUAAGGGAGUAUGGGUGACAGAAUCUGUUCCUUAGAUUUUUUCCAGUGCCUUUUUAGAAUGCUAAGUACUUUGUGUAUCAUAAAACUAACUGUACAUUCAUUAGUAACCACAAAACUACUAAUAAUGUACCUCACUCUUAAUCUUAAUGAACCCUAAUGAAAUUGUAAUGUCUCCCCACUUGAAAUUUCUUGCAUGAUGUGCCCUAAACAUUCCAGAAAAUGUUUACCCUGGGAUGGCAUGUAACAUUUCUCCUUUAUUUGUUUGCUUUGCAGAAGUUAGGUGAAGACUGAAAAUCAGGCUCCUAAUAUAAU